UUAUAUAAAUUAUGUACAUUGCAUUCCUUGGCUCUGAGACAAGUUCAUGUUGACUGAUGUGUCCACAGUUGGGACAGAAGAAUGAUCAACUUUAAAGUUAAAGCCGCUACCAGAAAAAGGGUUGAAUGGCAGAGAAAGAGAUCACUUCAUGGCACUAAGUGACAAUUCAAAAAGACUUAUUAUUGAAAAGAGGACAUUGCCUGAAGAGUUCAGCACCUACCAGAGCCUAGAAAGCUCACAUCCUGGGUAGAGAGGCCAUAAAGUUUGGAAGAGAGAACGCGUUCAGCGAAAAGGGAGCAGACUGAAGGGCAGAGAGCUGCUAAGAAAGCUCUUAGGGCAGGUUAGAGACCAGGAGAGAUCUGUGAACUGAUUAUAAAUUUUUUCUUCAGCUACCAAGUCUGAUUUCACCCAGUGCUGACAGAUGAGGCUGAGUUCUCCCUGGAUCUGAAAGAGCAGGAGGUGAAGGGCUUGGCCUGAGGAAUCGAGCCCUGUGUGCUUCCCUCUAUGACUCCACUCCCAAACUCCUACCGUCGAAUUAAAAUGCAAGGUUACAGUGAUAGAAAGCAAAGAAAAUCCUGGAGGAAGGGGGAUGUCUGGAUGCAGGACACAGACCAACCAUGUAUGCUCACCGUCACAGUACCUCAUGACUUCACCCUGGGGGACACAUACUUAUACCCAAGAAAUGAUAUUAAGUUAAAGCGGGGCUGUAUUACACCACAUCUAACACCCAC